rnacentral:rRNA from 1 species
AUUGAACGCUGGCGGCAUGCCUUACACAUGCAAGUCGAACGGCAGCACGGACUUCGGUCUGGUGGCGAGUGGCGAACGGGUGAGUAAUGUAUCGGAACGUACCUUUCAGUGGGGGAUAACGUAGCGAAAGUUACGUUAAUACCGCAUAUUCUGUGAGCAGGAAAGCAGGGGAUCGCAAGACCUUGCGCUUAUUGAGCGGCCGAUAUCAGCUUAGCUAGUUGGUGGGGUAAAGGCCUACCAAGGCUACGAUCUGUAGCGGGUCUGAGAGGAUGAUCCGCCACACUGGAACUGAGACACGGUCCAGACUCCUACGGGAGGCAGCAGUGGGGAAUUUUGGACAAUGGGGGCAACCCUGAUCCAGCCAUGCCGCGUGAGUGAAGAAGGCCUUCGGGUUGUAAAGCCCUUUCGGCCGGGAAGAAAUCGCAUAGGUUAAUACCCUGUGUGGAUGACGGUACCGGAAUAAGAAGCACCGGCUAACUACGUGCCAGCAGCCGCGGUAAUACGUAGGGUGCGAGCGUUAAUCGGAAUUACUGGGCGUAAAGCGUGCGCAGGCGGUUUCGUAAGACAGAGGUGAAAUCCCCGGGCUCAACCUGGGAACUGCCUUUGUGACUGCGAGGCUAGAGUACGGCAGAGGGGGGUGGAAUUCCACGUGUAGCAGUGAAAUGCGUAGAGAUGUGGAGGAACACCGAUGGCGAAGGCAGCCCCCUGGGCCGAUACUGACGCUCAUGCACGAAAGCGUGGGUAGCAAAC